rnacentral:tRNA from 1 species
GAUGCGGUGUAGCCCGAUGGGUAAGGGUGGUAGGAGCGCACAACGCUCCCGAACGGAUGCUGGUUCGAAUCCAGCCCCGCAUCA